GUGUCUAUGAAAUCUUUUGGAAAUGAUUUCUGUCCGCCACAAUGCUUCGUCUAUCAUAAGUAUGGCGAGUUUGAGUUGGAGGGAGCAUAAAAACUAUGAGGUUCAAAUAUAAAUUGUAGCUCCUGAAGUUUCUUCAAAAUAGCUAGAGUUCAUUAUUAUUCCUUAUAUUAUAAGGUUACAUCCGGCAAAGCGAAUGAUUAGAGGAACUGAGAUCGAAACGAUCUUAACCUAUUCUCAAACGUUCUGUGGGUAUGUCGUCCUAGCUUUUUCACGUUAAUGUUGAAUUGUUAACAUGAAUGUGAUUUCUCAGUGAGCCAUUUUUGCUGAGCAAAAUUGGCGCCGUGAGAUGAACCAAACGCUAGGUUGAGGUGCGUAACUUUUGCUUAUAAGAUCUCAUAUAAGGCUUUGGUUGUUAUAGACAGCAGGACGGUGGCUACAGAAGUCGGUAUGCACUAAAGAGUGCGUAACAACUCAUCCGCCGAAUCAACUAGCCCUGAAAAUGAUAGGUGCUUUAGCAAAAGACUUAUACCUAACCAUUGUUGGCAUGUGACAAGGUGGACAACGUGCGUCUUAUACGCAUGCUAUCAUCAUAGUUCGCCUGACCACAAUGAGUAGGAGUGUCGUAGCGGUUGUGUUGAAGGCGUUUGGUGUAGAUCUAGCUGGAGCUUACGCUAGUUGAUAUUUCGGUUAUAGUAGCAAAUAUUUAAGUUUUAUCUUUGAAGACUGAAGUGGAGAAGGGUGCCACGUGAACAUUAGUUGAAUGUGGGUCAGUCGAUCCUAAAAUACUGACUUGUGCCUUGUAUUAUUAGGGUGCAAAUGUGUUGUAUUUUUUUUAGAAUCUUUUAUCUUUUCUUUCCCUUCUUUAUUCUUCUUGCUUUUUUUCUUUCUCUUUCUUUUUUCUAUGUUUUCUUUUUUUUCUUUUGUCGAAAGGGAGUAGAGUUAAUAUUUCCUAACGUAGACAAAGAGAUUACGAUUCGUAUAAGUCAUUUGCACGGGAACGCUUUUCAAACUUGGUGAGCGUCGCUGAAAAACCAAGCCAGAGUUUCCUUUUCUAGUUAAAGAAACGGACUUCCUGGAAUCGGUUCAGCCGUAUAUAGGGACGUUGAUUCCGUAAUGUAUCGCGGUUUCUGUGAUAUCUCGUGUUUAUUGAAGUGAACAUCCUCUAGUCGAUAGAAUAAUGAAGGUAAAGAAAAUCAGCAAAUUUGAUCCGUAAGUUCAGAAAAAAGAUUGGCUUCAGUGACCGGAUGGAUUGGCCUUUGAACUGGUGCUUGUACGGAUUUGUCCAUGACCGAUGUGAAAACCUUAUGCAUAUAUGUAUAUACGUAAAUGUGAUGAUGUUGAGCUGAUAAGACCGUGUAGCGGACGCUCAUAGAUGUGUGCUUUGUUUUCGAAUUAAGUAUCCUGGUCGACCAUUAUAACGGUAGGAGUUGAGCUGGUACGGACUUGGUGAAUCUGACUGUCUAAUUAAAACAGCUGAGUUUGAGCAGUUGAGCUUAACUCUAGUUCAACAUCGUGAAGAAUCAUAAGAGGUUUAGUAUAUACGGCUGACUGCAAAUGCAAGUUUUCUAGGUAGUGAAAUCUGGAAAGGUGGCGAAAGGCAUGGGCAGU
rfam:Dictyocaulus viviparus strain HannoverDv2000 D_viviparus-1.0_Cont14612.1, whole genome shotgun sequence.